rnacentral:lncRNA from 1 species
UAUCUCAAGUUGCUCAUAAAGGAAGAGAACUAACCUUAAAUACGAGCUUUUGCAUAUUUUUUCACAUUAGUCACCAACCCAAAGUUUAGCUCUAUUAUUACCUCCAAGUGGUCAUAAUGUAGUUUGAUAAAUAUAGGGCGAUGGUCAACUUCAAGCAGUGAUGCAGCAAGUACUCCUUGAUUCUUGCUUCCACUUUUUAUGGGAGAACUAGAUUAAAAUCAACUAGCAUAUGUAAACCAUUUUAUACUUUUUUAAGCUUUUCAACCUGGCCUUCCAUUACUAAAACAUAGUAUAUCCAAAUGAGCCCUGAAUUAACUUCCUAUUUUCAGGAAUAAAGGAUAGAGUAACAGAGGAAAAAAAUCAAGAAAUCUUAAAGAUAGAUGAGAUUUGUACUACAAGUUAUGUAAUCCUUGUACCUUCUGGUUCUACUAGCAUAAGUUAUUAUAUUAACUUAAGAUUAUGUACUGUAUUUAGGAUGUUGAUUAUAAUUUAUGUUAAUAAGUUAAGUCAGUUUUGGCUUUUCUUACAAUUGAUCAACAUAUGACAGAGGAAGUAGAGAGCCUGCUGUACAAACACUUUUUUUUUUGGUUUUACAUUAGGGCACUUUUUGCAUUUAUUAAAAUUGAGCAAGCAUAAACCAUUAGCGCGAUAAUUACUUAUUGGAGAAUUGUUGUUAACUAGUAUGCAUCUUCUAUAAUAUAUGUACCUCUCCUAUGUACAUUUGAAGUACAAUGUUACUUGUAUGACUGUGUACUUCUCCUAGCACAUGUUCAUUAUGUUGCCUGUAUCUGCUCUUUUGUUUUUGUCUAUACCUUAAAUACUUCUCUUUUCAUUUAUUUCAUUCUGAAGGCAUACGUGAAGAAUAUUCUGCAAAGUAUAUACCUAACCUAAUGUACAUGCAGCAUUGUUGCAAUGUUUCAUAUUGUGCAGGUCCUUUGUGACUUCUCAUGCAUACAUGCAGCGUAAUUUAUAGAAUAUGGACCUCACGUACUAUUUAUGCACCAUGGCAGUACUAUAGUAUUCACAUCGACUGAGACCUCUCUGACUGUACAUGCUUGGUUUAGAAUCCUAAACCAAUCUUUCACUCUAACACUUGCCAUCAAGUUCAAGAUCGGUUGUCGCUGAGAAACUUAUCUUAUUUCUGCUUGGAAAAUUUGUAUGAUUUAUUUAUAUUUCCAUUCUUUUGUUUCUGUCAUCCACCUUGGAAGCCAUUAUUUAUACCAACAGGUAAAGUGCUUCAGUGCUGAAAGUUUAUAUACUGCUUUUUUGCCCAAAUGAAGUUUUGUAACCACAUCAGAUUAAGACAUGCAUAAAUACCAUUUAGAACUAUUACUUGGUGUGUUAAAAGGCAUAAUUUGCAGAACCAUUCUCAUUUUAUAUGUUUAUGUGAUAAUAUGACAAUAUGUUCAAUAUUAAGAAGUAGAAGUGCAUUUACAUUUCUACUAUCUUCAUGUCAGAAGUCGAUGAGUCAGGUAUAUCAUGUCUAUAUCAUUAGAGAUUGUUGCUAACCACUGAGAGACUCAAUCUGAUCAUGAAAAAUCUUCUGAUGCUUGGAGCUUGUUAAAGCUUGAUUUAAGCAGCUUGGGUUUUUCUCUCAGAGCUACUUUUCAUGUAUCCAUUUUUUUCCUACUCCUGAAAGUACCUGGAAAAAUAAAACGUAUUGGCUUGAGGCCCUUGAGUGUUUGUGUAAGACCAUAUUGCUUUGCUUAAAAUGAAUUGUCCAGUAAGAUUGCACUUUCACCUAUAUCACCCUUCUCUUAUUGAUCCCUAUUGCAGGUAUUUGACACUGGAUGA